rnacentral:rRNA from 1 species
AUUGAACGCUGGCGGCAGGCCUAACACAUGCAAGUCGAGCGAGCGGCGGACGGGUGAGUAAUGUAUGGGGAACUGCCCGAUGGAGGGGGAUAACUACUGGAAACGGUAGCUAAUACCGCAUACUAUCAGAUGAGCCCAGAUGGGAUUAGCUAGUAGGUGGGGUAAUGGCUCACCUAGGCGACGAUCCCUAGCUGGUCUGAGAGGAUGAUCAGCCACACUGGAACUGAGACACGGUCCAGACUCCUACGGGAGGCAGCAGUGGGGAAUAUUGCACAAUGGGCGCAAGCCUGAUGCAGCCAUGCCGCGUGUGUGAAGAAGGCCUUCGGGUUGUAAAGCACUUUCAGUCGGGAGGCGUUACCCACAGAAGAAGCACCGGCUAACUCCGUGCCAGCAGCCGCGGUAAUAC